GGGUUGUGAGGUUAAGCGACUAAGCGUACACGGUGGAUGCCCUGGCAGUCAGAGGCGAUGAAGGGCGUGCUAAUCUGCGAUAAGCGCCGGUAAGGUGAUAUGAACCGUUAUAACCGGCGAUACCCGAAUGGGGAAACCCAGUGUGACUCGUCACACUAUCAUUAACUGAAUCCAUAGGUUAAUGAGGCGAACCGGGGGAACUGAAACAUCUAAGUACCCCGAGGAAAAGAAAUCAACCGAGAUUCCCCCAGUAGCGGCGAGCGAACGGGGAGGAGCCCAGAGCCUGAAUCAGCAUGUGUGUUAGUGGAAGCGUCUGGAAAGGCGCGCGAUACAGGGUGACAGCCCCGUACACAAAAGCGCAUGUGCUGUGAGCUCGAUGAGUAGGGCGGGACACGUGGUAUCCUGUCUGAAUAUGGGGGGACCAUCCUCCAAGGCUAAAUACUCCUGACUGACCGAUAGUGAACCAGUACCGUGAGGGAAAGGCGAAAAGAACCCCGGCGAGGGGAGUGAAAAAGAACCUGAAACCGUGUACGUACAAGCAGUGGGAGCCCCACCACCAAAGCAUUCUCUGGUGUUGAAGGCCCUGCAAAGCAGCAUCGCGGUGGCGGAGCGUCGUUUGCGACGCCCAACACACAAAACAAGCGGUGAGUGCUUUGGGGUGGGGUGACUGCGUACCUUUUGUAUAAUGGGUCAGCGACUUAUAUUCUGUAGCAAGGUUAACCGAAUAGGGGAGCCGGAGGGAAACCGAGUCUUAAUUGGGCGUUAAGUUGCAGGGUAUAGACCCGAAACCCGGUGAUCUAGCCAUGGGCAGGUUGAAGGUUGGGUAACACUAACUGGAGGACCGAACCGACUAAUGUUGAAAAAUUAGCGGAUGACCUGUGGCUGGGGGUGAAAGGCCAAUCAAACCGGGAGAUAGCUGGUUCUCCCCGAAAGCUAUUUAGGUAGCGCCUCGUGAAUUCAUCUCCGGGGGUAGAGCACUGUUUCGGCUAGGGGGCCAUCCCGGCUUACCAACCCGAUGCAAACUGCGAAUACCGGAGAAUGUUAUCACGGGAGACACACGGCGGGUGCUAACGUCCGUCGUGAAGAGGGAAACAACCCAGACCGCCAGCUAAGGUCCCAAAGUCAUGGUUAAGUGGGAAACGAUGUGGGAAGGCCCAGACAGCCAGGAUGUUGGCUUAGAAGCAGCCAUCAUUUAAAGAAAGCGUAAUAGCUCACUGGUCGAGUCGGCCUGCGCGGAAGAUGUAACGGGGCUAAACCAUGCACCGAAGCUGCGGCAGCGAACGUAUCACUUAAAGCGAUUCAGCGGGUUACGAUUGACGGAGCGAAGCGACGUCAAAGCGUAUACAAAGUCGAGUCGGUUUAAGGAUACGUUCGUUGGGUAGGGGAGCGUUCUGUAAGCCUGUGAAGGUGGCCUGUGAGGGUUGCUGGAGGUAUCAGAAGUGCGAAUGCUGACAUAAGUAACGAUAAAGCGGGUGAAAAGCCCGCUCGCCGGAAGACCAAGGGUUCCUGUCCAACGUUAAUCGGGGCAGGGUGAGUCGACCCCUAAGGCGAGGCCGAAAGGCGUAGUCGAUGGGAAACGGGUUAAUAUUCCCGUACUUGGUGUUACUGCGAAGGGGGGACGGAGAAGGCUAUGUUGGCCGGGCGACGGUUGUCCCGGUUUAAGCGUGUAGGUGUGUGUUCCAGGUAAAUCCGGUUCACUUUAACACUGAGGCGUGACGACGAGGCACUACGGUGCUGAAGCAACAAAUGCCCUGCUUCCAGGAAAAGCCUCUAAGCAUCAGGUAACAUCAAAUCGUACCCCAAACCGACACAGGUGGUCAGGUAGAGAAUACCAAGGCGCUUGAGAGAACUCGGGUGAAGGAACUAGGCAAAAUGGUGCCGUAACUUCGGGAGAAGGCACGCUGACACGUAGGUGAAGUGAUUUACUCAUGGAGCUGAAGUCAGUCGAAGAUACCAGCUGGCUGCAACUGUUUAUUAAAAACACAGCACUGUGCAAACACGAAAGUGGACGUAUACGGUGUGACGCCUGCCCGGUGCCGGAAGGUUAAUUGAUGGGGUCAGCGCAAGCGAAGCUCCUGAUCGAAGCCCCGGUAAACGGCGGCCGUAACUAUAACGGUCCUAAGGUAGCGAAAUUCCUUGUCGGGUAAGUUCCGACCUGCACGAAUGGCGUAAUGAUGGCCAGGCUGUCUCCACCCGAGACUCAGUGAAAUUGAACUCGCUGUGAAGAUGCAGUGUACCCGCGGCAAGACGGAAAGACCCCGUGAACCUUUACUAUAGCUUGACACUGAACAUUGAGCCUUGAUGUGUAGGAUAGGUGGGAGGCUUUGAAGCGUGGACGCCAGUCUGCGUGGAGCCGACCUUGAAAUACCACCCUUUAAUGUUUGAUGUUCUAACGUGGACCCGUUACCCGGGUUGCGGACAGUGUCUGGUGGGUAGUUUGACUGGGGCGGUCUCCUCCUAAAGAGUAACGGAGGAGCACGAAGGUUGGCUAAUCCUGGUCGGACAUCAGGAGGUUAGUGCAAUGGCAUAAGCCAGCUUGACUGCGAGCGUGACGGCGCGAGCAGGUGCGAAAGCAGGUCAUAGUGAUCCGGUGGUUCUGAAUGGAAGGGCCAUCGCUCAACGGAUAAAAGGUACUCCGGGGAUAACAGGCUGAUACCGCCCAAGAGUUCAUAUCGACGGCGGUGUUUGGCACCUCGAUGUCGGCUCAUCACAUCCUGGGGCUGAAGUAGGUCCCAAGGGUAUGGCUGUUCGCCAUUUAAAGUGGUACGCGAGCUGGGUUUAGAACGUCGUGAGACAGUUCGGUCCCUAUCUGCCGUGGGCGCUGGAGAACUGAGGGGGGCUGCUCCUAGUACGAGAGGACCGGAGUGGACGCAUCACUGGUGUUCGGGUUGUCAUGCCAAUGGCACUGCCCGGUAGCUAAAUGCGGAAGAGAUAAGUGCUGAAAGCAUCUAAGCACGAAACUUGCCCCGAGAUGAGUUCUCCCUGAGACUUAGAGUCUCCUGAAGGAACGUUGAAGACGACGACGUUGAUAGGCCGGGUGUGUAAGCGCAGCGAUGCGUUGAGCUAACCGGUACUAAUGAACCGUGAGGCUUAACCUUACAACGCCGAAG
rnacentral:rRNA from 1 species